CAAUAGCGUAUAUUAAAGUUGUUGCGGUUAAAAAGCUCGUAGUUGGAUUUCUGUUGAGGUCGGCCGGUCCCUACUUCGUAGGCGUAUCUGGUUCAGCCUUGGCAUCCUCCUAGGGAACGGCACUGCUCUUAACUGAGUGGUCCGGUAUCUAGGACUUUUACUUUGAGGAAAUUAGAGUGUUUACGGCAGGCAAUCGCCUUGAAUAUGUUAGCAUGGAAUAAUAAUAUAGGACCUUGGUUCUAUUUUGUUGGUUUCUAGGACUAAGGUAAUGAUUAAUAGGGAUAGUUGGGGGCAUUCGUAUUAACCGGUCAGAGGUGGAAUUCUUGGAUUCGGUUACGACGAACUACUGCGAAAGCAUUUGCCAAGGAUGUUUUCAUUGA
rnacentral:rRNA from 1 species